AUUGACUUAAGACUGCCCUAAGCCCCUAACUAUUCGACAGCUUCCUUCUCCUCCUCUUCGUUCAAUCGUUCUACACCUCCGACCAAAACUCUCAUCCUCUUGGUUCUUCGAAUCCAACCAGAACUUGACGCCUCGUCCUCCUUCUUUUUCGCGUCACACUAGCUCAUCUGCUCUAAGACAGUGAACAGGAUCGUAGAUCGAGGCCGCCGUUUGGGAGAAACUUUGAGCUUCUGAGUCAUAGGUAAUUCACGAAUCUGUUCAGUACAUGUCUUUGAAGGAUUUGUGAGUUCUGAAAUCACCGAUCUGAGCUUUUGUUUCUUAAUUUGCUUCCAAGGAUUUGUGUUUCAUCUACCGAGCCAUUCUUCAUUGAGCUGGGCAAGUUCGAAGCUUGGUGACCAUGUAACUGGAGCUUUCUGGGCAUUCUUUAUCUCAGGUUCGCUCUUUCUCAAUUCUUCUCAUUGUUUGUGACUGAUUUGGGAAACUUUGGGGCUUUUGUUAAGUUUUAGGUUUCGGGUUUUGCAAAUUUUGGGGCUUAAACUUCCAAACUUUGAUGGACCCAUUUCACCAAACGUAGCAUACAUGUCCUUGAGUGGUCCGCCAAUGUCAAAUUUUGCUUGUUUAUCAACUAAAAAGCUUCACAUUAUCGAUGUGAUUUGCUUCAAGGAAGGUGCAUGCUUUUGUGUUUGAGCUUCACCGGUGGCUUCGAUGGUAAAGUUUUAAGCUUUGAGAUGAGUUUUGAUGUGGGUUUGGGUUGUUCUUAUUCAGCAGUUUCUGGGUUGCUUCUGAUUUUGUUCUUUACCUACUGAUUGUUGGAAUCUGGAUUAUAAUUGCUCUUUUAGGAAAGCUGUUUAGAAUUUGUUGUUUGUUGGGUUUAUUUGAGGCAGCUCUGAACUGAACUGGGGUUGUCCAUACUGGUCUUGGAUUUUGUAUCGGCAGACAUUUAAUCCAUUAGCUGAGUGGGUGAGCGAGAAAUUGAUUUACAAAUGGAACUUUGUGUCUCUUUGAUUCUCUUUUUGAUUUCUCUGCCAGCAUUUUUGGCCAAAGAUGUUGGACAUGCUAGCAUUGUAGUUGAUGGGACAGUAGCUACUGCACAGGUUGAUAACAAUUUUGUCUGUGCCACUCUUGAUUGGUGGAAUCAUGAAAAGUGCGACUACAACCACUGUCCUUGGGGAUCGGCAUCUGUGUUAAAUUUGAGCUUGUCUCAUCCUCUGCUUGCCAAGUCAAUUCAAGCUUUCAAUCAGUUGAGGAUCAGAAUUGGGGGUUCCUUGUAAGAUCAAUAAUUGUAUGGUGUAGGAGAUUUGAAAUAUCCUUGCCAUCCUUUUAGAAAGCAGAAGGGUGGGUUGUUUGGAUUUUCUACAGGAUGUUUACCUAUGAGUAGAUGGGAUGAGCUUAACCAUUUUUUCAGCAAGACGAGGCCCCUUGUCACAUUUAGCUUGAAUGCACUGUCAGGGAGGCACCACAAAGGCGCGGAUGUUUGGGUUGGAGAUUAGGACUCUAGCAAUGCCUAUGAUUUUAUUAAUUAUACAGUUUUGAAGGGCUACCACAUAAAUUCAUGGGAGUUGGGUAUGAUUAUGAAAAGAUAUGAACAUCUUUCUUGCCACUUGUUUUGUUUUUGCUUCACAUAUAUUCUUGUCACAUCUUUCAUGUAGUCAGGGGACUCUGUAUGGUCAUUUUUUAUUCUUCUGAUGUUAAACAGCCAUGGUCGCCUUCAAUGACAUAGUGUCCACUUUAGUCACUCUAUAGCUGUUUCAAUCCCUCACACAUUGUUUCUUGUGCAGAUCAUGGCAUCUAGUUUAAGUGGACUUACUGUUGGAGAUCCACUCCCUGAAAAUCUCAUGGAAUCUCCUGCAAGGUCUGAAACCAUGUUUUAUGCAAGGUAACCUUCUGCAUUUUUCCUCCUCACUUCAUGUCCUAAUGAUGCUGCUCAGCUUAAUUACUAGUCCACCUUUGACUGUAGUAGCUUAAAUUUGCAAGAAUGUGAUAAUAUUUCUUAGUAUAAUGAACUCAAUCUUGGUCCUUUGUUCAUGUCAUCAUGUGAUAAAACAGCAGGAUAAUUGCAGUUUGGGUCAUAUAUAGGUAGUGCUACGCAACUCUUGAGAGAGGUGAAGUUCAAUUUAUAGCUGUCCCUGAUCUUGCUUUAAAUUAAAUUUGCCUACUUUGAAGUUUUCUGGAAAUGCAGAUAACAUAGUAGUAGCAUGCACGGUCUAGUCUGCACGUUUAGUAUCUUAUUCUCUUCUCAAAAUUACUCUAUUUGCAUACUAGUAUGGAUUUGUUGUUGUUGGAAGAUAGAAUCUGUCGAAUCGUCUAUGUUUUCUGUUUAAUUGCUGAGUUAGUUUACAAAUGAAUGGCUUGAAUAAGAGUAUAUCAAUAUAUACAGCUGGUAUGGGUCUCUCAUAACAACUUGCAUUUAGCUCUUUCACCUUAAUAUUUUGUACAGGCAAACAUCUUCUCAAUGUUUCAGAUUACCUGUUCUUUAAUGCAGGUGUGGACUUUGGCCUAUGCCACCCCUGUGUACUUACUGUUAAGUCAUUGCCCUCUUCUUUAACUACUUUUUGUGAUUUGAAGUUGCAAUUUAAGUGGGUAUCUGUGAAACUAGUUCUCCAACUCAUUGGCACAUGUUUUUGCUAGGUUCAUUUGCAGCUACACCAAGGACUGGAAAUUCAAGUUACAAGUAUUUUUAUCUUAUAACAAACUGCUAUUUUUUUUUCUCUUUUUCUUUUUACUGUAUCUACAAACCUUUUUUGUCUUCAUAUGGUUUAUUUAGGAGACUUCAAUCUUGUUCUUUUCUUUUACUAUUGUAUAUGGAGAAGUUUAGGCCAUAUGUCCCCUUCUCCCUACUCUUUGUACAAUUUUUAUCAAUAAUAUUAAUGAGAAUUUUCUUUUGCUUA